UACGGGGGGGGCAAGCGUUGUUCGGAAUUACUGGGCGUAAAGGGCUCGUAGGCGGCCAACUAAGUCAGGCGUGAAAUCCCUCGGCUUAACCGGGGAACUGCGUCUGAUACUGGAUGGCUUGAGUUUGGGAGAGGGAUGCGGAAUUCCAGGUGUAGCGGUGAAAUGCGUAGAUAUCUGGAGGAACACCGGUGGCGAAGGCGGCAUCCUGGACCAACACUGACGCUGAGGAGCGAAAGCCAGGGGAGCAAACAGG
rnacentral:rRNA from 1 species